rnacentral:rRNA from 1 species
AUACGUAGGGGGCGAGCGUUGUCCGGAAUGAUUGGGCAUAAAGGGCGCGUAGGCGGCCCGGUAAGUCUGGAGUGAAAGUCCUGUUUUUAAGAUGGGAAUUGCUUUGGAUACUGUCGGGCUUGAGUGCAGGAGAGGUAAGUGGAAUUCCCAGUGUAGCGGUGAAAUGCGUAGAGAUUGGGAGGAACACCAGUGGCGAAGGCGACUUACUGGACUGUAACUGACGCUGAGGCGCGAAAGUGUGGGGAGCAAACAGGAUUAGAUACCCUGGUAGUCCACACUGUAAACGAUGAAUGCUAGGUGUGGGGGGUAUCGACCCCUUCUGUGCCGCAGUCAACACAAUAAGCAUUCCGCCUGGGGAGUACGGCCGCAAGGUUGAAACUCAAAUGAAUUGACGGG